UUGACUAUGGAAAGAAGUCCAAGCUUGGGUUCACAGUGUACCCAUCUCCCCAGGUGUCCACCUCUGUUGUUGAGCCAUACAACAGUGUCCUGUCCACCCACUCCCUCCUUGAGCACACCGAUGUCUCUAUCCUGCUUGACAAUGAGGCCAUCUAUGACAUCUGCCGCCGCUCCCUUGACAUUGAGCGCCCAACAUACACCAACCUCAACAGGCUUGUUUCUCAGGUACAGUCUACAUCCUUGUUUCUGCAUGGUACAUGCUUUCUCUGUUUGAUGUAUGUUAUAUGUUGCACUUCCUAAGAAUGUUUGACUGGUAUCUAAUCCAUUGGUUAAAUAACUAAUGUGCAGGUCAUAUCAUCACUGACUGCUUCCCUGAGGUUUGACGGUGCUCUGAAUGUUGAUGUGAAUGAGUUCCAAACCAACCUGGUGCCCUACCCAAGGAUCCACUUCAUGCUUUCCUCCUAUGCCCCAGUGAUAUCAGCAGAGAAGGCUUACCAUGAGCAGCUGUCUGUUGCCGAGAUCACCAACAGUGCAUUCGAGCCUUCCUCCAUGAUGGCCAAGUGUGACCCCCGCCAUGGCAAGUACAUGGCCUGCUGUCUCAUGUACCGUGGGGAUGUCGUGCCCAAGGACGUCAACGCUGCUGUGGCCACCAUCAAGACCAAGCGCACUAUCCAGUUUGUUGACUGGUGCCCCACUGGCUUCAAGUGCGGUAUCAACUACCAGCCACCUGGUGUCGUCCCAGGGGGCGACCUUGCCAAGGUCCAGAGGGCUGUGUGCAUGAUCUCCAACUCCACCAGUGUUGUUGAGGUCUUCUCCCGCAUCGACCACAAGUUUGACCUGAUGUACGCCAAGCGUGCCUUUGUCCACUGGUAUGUGGGUGAGGGUAUGGAGGAGGGAGAGUUCUCUGAGGCCCGUGAGGACCUUGCUGCCCUGGAGAAGGACUAUGAAGAAGUUGGUGCUGAGUUCGACGAUGGUGAGGAUGGUGACGAGGGUGAUGAGUACUAGAGCCUGCCUCCUGGUGCUUUCCCAAGGCGUACUACUGCUAUCCUAUGAUCUGCUCAAGCGGCUUUAUCUGUUAUCUGUCUGUUUGAAUGUUUGCUUUGUGGUGUUUGUUUUACAACCUGUUGUGUUGUAAGAACAUAUUGGU
rnacentral:lncRNA from 1 species